UUUACAAAUGAUGUCGAUAAGGUAACACUGGUUAUUUGACAUUUUGCAACCCCUUUGUUAUUGUGUGAAUUAAUAGAAUAGAAAAAUAGGUUAAAUAUUGAAAUAAAGCAAUUUUCGCACUAUAUAAUGUAGAAUCUGUACAAACGAAUUAAAUAGUUGAAAUUUUCAUCUAAUAUCUCGAAUACUAUAAGUUUCCCACGGCUAUAUCUGUAUAUAUUCUUGAUCUGAAGGACCUCCUUUAUUCGGACAUACCUAUUUUAUUACCGAAAUCCUGGGACAGUAUUCUAAAGAUACUAGAAGAGCCUUCAGUAUCUUUGGACUGGUAUUAAAAGGCAGCCUCAACAGUUUUUAUAUCAUUCUCUCAACACACAAUGGUGCAAUGUAAAAACGCAAGGAAUGUGAACGUUUAAUCUCUGAAAUUGGUGAAAUGUCCCUUUUCAAAUAAUUUGUAGUCGAGUUUUUGGCGAAAACCCCUAGAAGAACUAAUGUAUUACUAAUUGUUGCCAGUGGUCGAAAUUCGACCAAUAGAAAAUACAAUUUAUUAACAAUGUUAAUAAUAUUUAAAUUGUAUUAAAGAAUUUGAACAAAAUCUAAAAUUAUAAAAAUAAUUAUUCUAUAUAUCUGUAUCACGAUUCACGUUAAUUGCCAUACAAAUCUCUUUCUGCGUAUUGUAUACUCUAUCACAAUGUUCCUUCAUUGUACGAAAUGAACGAAUAAAUGGAUUAAUUCUAUCUAGUUCAACGAAAAUUUGUCUCAUUAAAA